UAUGAGCCGGCGUCAGGUGACGAAAAAGCCGUCAUGCUUGCAUGUAAGGCUCUUUCGUCAUUUGACGCUGCAACAGUAAUGAGGAAAACAGCACUGCGACAGCGGUGCGAUUUCCGAAUGAAUGUCAGGGCUUGCGGGAGUGCGUAGCACGGAGCAAGACUGGAAGCUCAUA
rnacentral:sRNA from 1 species